UUGUGUAGAGGGGGGAGGGAGGGGGGGAAUAUAAUACAGGACCUACAAAACAGUAAGCAAGACUAUAGGAAAGAUACUCAACUUCAACACAGUGCUCCCCCUUUAUAUGGCAGCCCGUUAUACUGAUUAUAAGGAAGUACGGUCAUGGAUCCCAUUUGCUCCAUAAUGCCAUUACACUAACACUAGUAUUCUCAUUAUAAGGCGGAACACAAAUAACCUCUUAACUCUGACUCCUGACUACAGCGUUAUAAAGGGUUGCACUGUACAUUAUUCAUGUGCCAACACCAAAAACAUUUUUUAAUUGUUCAAGAACUAAAAGGCAAUAAAAUAUGCUUAUAAAAUAAACCAAAAAAUAAACCCACUCAGGAAAAGUAAUUGCACAUAACCUCCUCAAUAACCUAUUGCUGUAGGAUGUGUAUUUUUACCUAAAAAAUAAUUGAGCAUGGAACAACUUGCAGUACAAGACAGUUCAACCCGGUCUGUGAUAUUUUAUGUCCUGUUAACAAACAACUGCUGCUAACCUUACCAAAUCCCAACAAAAACAACUGGUAACUGUUCUUCUGAGACAGCUUCUGAUAAACAAUUCCUGUGGCUUUGAGAAGAUUGUAUAAGACUUUUGUAUUACAGACACAUUAAUUCAAAAGCCUUUUUUGGUACACAACGAGGUGUACCGAGCAACAGGGACAGUGCAACUGUUAAGUCUUGCUUCCAAGUCUCACUCAAGUUUCUCUCUUUCUUACUUACUUCCUGUAUCCCCUACAUAAAAGUCAACCUCAAUCAAUAUAUGCAAACCAUAACAGUUCAAAUGCAAACAUGCAUUAAUUCAAACAUGUAAGGUGUAGACACACUUUUCAAACGUAGUGUAACCAAUACAAAUUGCUUACCCUCUGUCCUACAAUUUAAUUUAUUUUUUUAAAUCUACUAUUGAUUUCAGGUUACUUUUCUAACUUUACUAUUUUUAAAAGAUUCAAUAUGGUUCUAAUUUUUCAGCAGGAAUGAUUGUGUUUCUCCAAGCACUUUCAAGAACUCAAAAGAACAGUUUGGAGCACAGCAACAACAGAUGUCAAUGUAUUGACACUUUAUAAACAUGUCUUAUUCCUACCCCCCCCUUAAAAACAGUGUUGUUAGUGUAUUUGCUGGUUCCCAGUGUCUGUAUUGUCAAAAGUGCUUAAUGAAACACAGUCAUAUGCAGGAGCUACAAAACAGUCCAUAGAGACGCUGAGAACCUGCGAGGUAGUGCGCUGCACAAGAUGUAGCAUAAAUGCAGUUGGGCGUGAAUAUCAUCUGCACAAAUGACAUUUUUCAGCAGAAAGGCAUUGUAAAUGCAAAAUCUAUUUUCCCUGUUAUAUAACCCAUUCACAAACUUGCUCAGCAUCAGCUGGCCCGUUCUGUCACAAUUCAACUUAAUUCGGUCUACUCUCAUCCUGUGAGAAUGACUCAUCAUAAUGUUUUAUUGUUGCCAUUCUUUUGACUGUGCACCUCCCAACACUAAGCCACGAGAGACGUACUGUAUCAAUGGUUAAUGAUGGGCAAAUGGAGGGAGGGAUGCUGUUAGAAUGAGCUCAGUAUGACCGUGCUUCCAGAACUUUCAAUCACAUGUGUUCACUGGCAGUGUCACUGUGUGAUUUCUGUCUGUGAGCCCCACGCCAACUCCAAAACAUUCAAAAAGAAAGAAGGAAGAAAGAGCCGUCUAAAGAGGCAGCGAAGUGUUCUAGGAAUUACCUAAUGUUCAGGGAAUGACCUGUCGCUGCAAAAACAGUACCAUAUGGAAAAACAGCUGAAUGGAUUACAUUUAAACGAAAGUAUUCAACACAACUUCGUUUUGAACACUCCAUCCUCACACUCCUCUAUUUUUCAUUUUUGACGCCAGCUGCUGUGCUCCGCAUACCAACACCAGAAAUCGACAGCUUGAGACCAGUUUGAUAGAUGUUUUCAGUCGACUAAUCUUGACUAACUCGAAGUCAUGUGUUUCCAAAAUAAAUUUAAAAAAAGUUAGGCAGAGGAGUUGCAGUUAAUAAAUAUUCCUAGGAGUGAUGAUAAUCUAUUUCAAAUUUGGAACAAUUACCUUCUGUAUGCUAUUCAUUUCCGUUUCAUUUUAAUACAUUGUAUACCUCCCUUUCACCCUUUUAAACACAUACCAAUUUGGCGCCACCCUCGAAUUAAAGACGUCCUCAUAUUGAGGACGCAGUCAUAUAUCAGCUAUAUAAUAGAGGCCACCCUCAAAUAAACGUCGCUAGCAAUAAUGAAACAUUAUGGUAUUUUUUCUUUUCUUCUGCACCCGACUAAAACACACACAGUAAAUAAAUAAACACGAAACACUGACUAUGUAC